rnacentral:rRNA from 1 species
UGCAAGUCGAACGAGAAUCUACUGAAGGAGGAUUCGUCCAACGGAUGUAGAGGAAAGUGGCGGACGGGUGAGUAACGCGUGAGGAACCUGCCUUGAAGAGGGGGACAACAGUUGGAAACGACUGCUAAUACCGCAUGAAGCAUAGGGGUCGCAUGAUUCUUAUGCCAAAGAUUUAUCGCUUCAAGAUGGCCUCGCGUCUGAUUAGCUAGUUGGCGGGGUAACGGCCCACCAAGGCGACGAUCAGUAGCCGGACUGAGAGGUUGAACGGCCACAUUGGGACUGAGAUACGGCCCAGACUCCUACGGGAGGCAGCAGUGGGGAAUAUUGGGCAAUGGGCGCAAGCCUGACCCAGCAACGCCGCGUGAAGGAAGAAGGCUUUCGGGUUGUAAACUUCUUUUAAGAGGGAAGAGCAGAAGACGGUACCUCUAGAAUAAGCCACGGCUAACUACGUGCCAGCAGCCGCGGUAAUACGUAGGUGGCAAGCGUUGUCCGGAUUUACUGGGUGUAAAGGGCGUGCAGCCGGGUCUGCAAGUCAGAUGUGAAAUCCAUGGGCUCAACCCAUGAACUGCAUUUGAAACUGUAGAUCUUGAGUGUCGGAGGGGCAAUCGGAAUUCCUAGUGUAGCGGUGAAAUGCGUAGAUAUUAGGAGGAACACCAGUGGCGAAGGCGGAUUGCUGGACGAUAACUGACGGUGAGGCGCGAAAGUGUGGGGAGCAAACAGGAUUAGAUACCCUGGUAGUCCACACUGUAAACGAUGAAUACUAGGUGUGCGGGGACUGACCCCCUGCGUGCCGCAGUAAACACAAUAAGUAAUCCACCUGGGGAGUACGACCGCAAGGUUGAAACUCAA